UGGUGGAGUGAUUUGUCUGGUUAAUUCCGAUAACGAACGAGACUCUGUCCUGUUAACUAGGUUGUGUUUUCUCGGGUUGGUGUUUCUGGUGUUCCUUCUCGGGGCGCCGGCCCAAUCCACUUGUGAACACAACACUCUUCUUAGAGGGACUGGCGGCUGUUAGCCGCACGAGAUAGAGCAAUAACA
rnacentral:rRNA from 1 species